rnacentral:lncRNA from 1 species
ACGCUCAAAAUGACCCAAAAUGUUCCUGAAACUCCAGGUGGGGGGGUGCAGACCCCGAAUCCAGAUGUUGAGGGGCCCAAAAAUGGGCGUGGGAUGCUGGUGGUGGACAGUGACACAGAUGUGGAAGAAGAGGCAACAAAUCCAGAUGUUGGGAGCCUCAAACAGCCCAAAAUGGCCCUAAAUCACCCCAAAACUCCAGAUAUGGGGGCGCAGACCCCAAAUCCAGAUGUUUCCAGUCCCAAAAACGGCUGUGGGGCGCUGGUGGUGGACAGUGACACAGAUGUGGAGGAGGAGGAGCCACAUCCAGAUGUUGGGAGCCUCAAAAGGCCCAAAAUGGCCCUAAAUCACCCCAAAACUCCAGAUGUGGCCGUGAAGACCCCAAAUCCAGAUGUUGGGGCGCCCAAAAUUGGCCCUGGGCUGUUGCAGGUGGACAGUGACACAGAUGUGGAGGAGGAGGAGUCAGAUCCAGAUGUUGGGAGCCCCAAACCACCCAAAAUGGUCCCAAAAGACCCCAACAUUCCAGAUGUGGGGGCGGAAACCCCAAAUCCAGAUGUUGGGCGGCCCAAAAACAGCUGUGGGAUGCUGGUGGUGGACAGUGACACAGAUGUGGAGGAGGAGGGACCAAAUCCAGAUGUUGGACCCUCCAGAAGACCCAAAAUUACCCUAAAAGACCCGAAAACUCCAGGUGUGGCUGUGAAGACUCCAAAUCCAGAUGUUGGGAGCCUGAAAACACCCAAAAUGACCCAAAACAUGCCUGAAACUCCAGAUGUUGCAGUGGAGACCCCAAGUCCAGAUGUUGGGGCCUCCAGAAGACCCAAGAUGGCCCCAAAAGACCCCAAAAUUCCCGGUGUGGUGGCGGAGACCCCAAAUCCAGAUGUUGAGGAGCCCCAAACCGGCCGUGGGCUGUUGCUGGUGGACAGUGACACAGAUGUGGAGGAGGAGGAGCCAAAUCCAGAUGUUGGGAACCCAAAAACGCCCAAAAUGGCCUUAAAACACCCCAAAACUCCAGAUGGGGCCAUGAUGACCCAAAAUCCAGAUGUUGAGGGGCCCAAAAAUGGGCGUCGGAUGCCGGUGGCGGACAGUGGCCCAGAUGUGGAGGAAGAGGCAACAAAUCCAGAUGUUGGGAGCCUAAAAAGGCCUAAAACGGCUCUAAAACACCCCAAAACUCCAGAUGGGGCCCUAAAGAUCCCGAGUCCAGAUGUUGGAAGGCCAAAGAGGCCCAGGGUGACUCAAAACGUCCCUGAAA